rnacentral:rRNA from 1 species
GACGAACGCUGGCGGCGUGCUUAACACAUGCAAGUCGAACGGAAAGGCCCUGCUUUUGUGGGGUGCUCGAGUGGCGAACGGGUGAGUAACACGUGAGUAACCUGCCCUUGACUUUGGGAUAACUUCAGGAAACUGGGGCUAAUACCGGAUAUGAGCUCCUGCUGCAUGGUGGGGGUUGGAAAGUUUCGGCGGUUGGGGAUGGACUCGCGGCUUAUCAGCUUGUUGGUGGGGUAGUGGCUUACCAAGGCUUUGACGGGUAGCCGGCCUGAGAGGGUGACCGGCCACAUUGGGACUGGGAUACGGCCCAGACUCCUACGGGGGGCAGCAGUGGGGAAUAGUGCAAAAUGGGCGGAAGCCUGAUGCAGCAACGCCGCGUGCGGGAUGACGGCCUUCGGGUUGUAAACCGCUUUCGCCUGUGACGAAGCGUGAGUGACGGUAAUGGGUAAAGAAGCACCGGCUAACUACGUG